GGGGAAUAUGCAUGGGCGGAAGCCUGAUCCAGCCAUGCCGCGUGUGUGAAGAAGGCCUUAUGGUUGUAAAGCACUUUAAGCGAGGAGGAGGCUACUUUAGUUAAUACCUAGAGAUAGUGGACGUUACUCGCAGAAUAAGCACCGGCUAACUCUGUGCCAGCAGCCGCGGUAAUACAGAGGGUGCAAGCGUUAAUCGGAUUUACUGGGCGUAAAGCGCGCGUAGGCGRCUAAUUAAGUCAAAUGUGAAAUCCCCGAGCUUAACUUGGGAAUUGCAUUCGAUACUGGUUAGCUAGAGUGUGGGAGAGGAUGGUAGAAUUCCAGGUGUAGCGGUGAAAUGCGUAGAGAUCUGGAGGAAUACCGAUGGCGAAGGCAGCCAUCUGGCCUAACACUGACGCUGAGGUGCGAAAGCAUGGGGAGCAAACAGGAUUAGAUACCCUGGUAGUCCAUGCCGUAAACGAUGUCKGGGRGRMAAUGGGGCCUUUGAGGCUUUAGUGGCGC
rnacentral:rRNA from 1 species